CCCGGGAAACUGGGUCUAAUACCGGAUAUGACUUCCUGCUGCAUGGCAGGGGGUGGAAAGAUUUAUCGGUUGGGGAUGGACUCGCGGCCUAUCAGCUUGUUGGUGAGGUAAUGGCUCACCAAGGCGACGACGGGUAGCCGGCCUGAGAGGGUGACCGGCCACACUGGGACUGAGACACGGCCCAGACUCCUACGGGAGGCAGCAGUGGGGAAUAUUGCACAAUGGGCGAAAGCCUGAUGCAGCGACGCCGCGUGAGGGAUGACGGCCUUCGGGUUGUAAACCUCUUUCAGUAGGGAAGAAGCCCCUUUUGGGGGUGACGGUACUUGCAAAAAAAGCGCCGGCUAACUACGUGCCAGCAGCCGCGGUAAUACGUAGGGCGCAGGCGUUAUCCGGAAUUAUUGGGCGUAAAGAGCUCGUAGGCGGUUUGUCGCGUCUGCCGUGAAAG
rnacentral:rRNA from 1 species